CACCUUAAUUUUAGCCGCUGCAUCAAACUUUUCAAGCUUUACGUCAAAGAUGAUUUUUUCUUCAGCCUUUGUUUCAGCAGCCGCUGGCCCAGAGGAAAGUCCCGAAGAACCUAAGCCCGAAACAGAAGGACCAUAUCGAUUAAGACCCAUUUUUUGCCGGAAGAGAAUGGCGUAGUCAUGUCUUUCGAGCUUAUUCAGGUCAAGAAGUUGGUCGGCGAUCCGCUCCAGCUUCUGGGUUCGGGUUUCUGUAGCGGUGCAUAGAGUAUGAGCUAUCGAUGGGGCACGGAUCCGAGAAAUGAGUCCCCUUGUUACUGACGUUUUUGAAACUAGAGAUGCCAUUUCCAGCAAUUCUAAUUUCCUUAAUCACCUUAAUCUUUGCCGCUGCAUCAAACUUUUCGAGCUUUACAUCAAAGAUAGUCUUUUCUUCAGCCUUUGCUUCAGCACCCGCUGGCCCAGAGGAAGGUCCAGAAGAACCUAAGCCCGAAACAGCAGGGCCGUAUCGAUUAAGACCCAUUUUGUGCCGGAAGAGAAUGGCGUAGUCAUGUUUUUCGAGCUUGUUCAGGUCUAGAAGUUGGUCGGCGAUACGCUCCAGCUUCUGGGUUCGGGUUUCUGUAGCGGUGCAUAGAGAGUGAGCUAUUGAUGGGGCACGGAUCCGAGAAAUGAGUCCCCUUGUUACUGAGGUUUUUGAAACUAGAGAUGCCAUUUCCAGCAAUUGCAGAGACUUGUGUUAGGGUUUUAGUAAUGGAAGAGGUGGGAAGAAGGUGAAAGGAGGACUGAAGUGAACAACGGUCUC
rnacentral:lncRNA from 1 species